UUAUGAAAACAAACUAAAUAGCCUCCUAUCAACCCAAAACAGUGACACAUUAAGAUUUCUACUCCCCUACCUCCCUCCUUACUUCAUCUUACAAACAAGGACUUGAUUCAACAUGUAUUAAGUUGAGAAACUUGAUACAAAAUUUUGGUCAGAGUUUAACUUUUAAAAACAGAAAUCCAAGGCAAAAUUGUAUUUGGUUUUGAUUUCUUGUAUUUGGGUACACAAGAGGAAAGAGAACCCAGUAACAAGUUUCUAUAUGUUCAGCCAAAAUAUUUGCUGUGGAAAA